rnacentral:rRNA from 1 species
AGUGAACGCUGGCGGUAGGCCUAACACAUGCAAGUCGAACGGCAGCACAGUAAGAGCUUGCUCUUACGGGUGGCGAGUGGCGGACGGGUGAGGAAUACAUCGGAAUCUACUUUUUCGUGGGGGAUAACGUAGGGAAACUUCCGCUAAUACCGCAUACGACCUCCGGGUGAAAGCAGGGGAUCUUCGGACCUUGCGCGAUUGAAUGAGCCGAUGUCGGAUUAGCUAUUUGGCGGGGUAAAGGCCCACCAAGGCGACGAUCCGUAGCUGGUCUGAGAGGAUGAUCAGCCACACUGGAACUGAGACACGGUCCAGACUCCUACGGGAGGCAGCAGUGGGGAAUAUUGGACAAUGGGCGCAAGCCUGAUCCAGCCAUACCGCGUGGGUGAAGAAGGCCUUCGGGUUGUAAAGCCCUUUUGCUGGGAAAGAAAAGCAGCAGGUUAAUACCCCGCUGUUCUGACGGUACCCAAAGAAUAAGCACCGGCUAACUUCGUG